rnacentral:rRNA from 1 species
GACGAACGCUGGCGGCGUGCUUAACACAUGCAAGUCGAACGGGGUCCAUGAGAGCUUGCUCUCGGAAGACCUAGUGGCGAACGGGUGAGUAACACGUGAGAAACCUGCCUCGGAGUGGGGAAUAACUCGAGGAAACUCGAGCUAAUACCGCAUACCUUCAUUUGACCGCAUGGUCAGUUGAAGAGAGAUUUAUCGCUCUGAGAGGGUCUCGCGGCCUAUCAGCUUGUUGGUGGGGUAACGGCCUACCAAGGCAACGACGGGUAGCUGGAUUGAGAGAUCGACCAGCCACACUGGAACUGAGACACGGCCCAAACUCCUACGGGAGGCAGCAGUGGGGAAUUUUGGACAAUGGGCGCAAGCCUGAUCCAGCCAUGCCGCGUGCGGGAAGAAGGCCUUCGGGUUGUAAACCGCUUUUGUCAGGGAAGAAAUCCUUUGGGCUAAUACCCUGGAGGGAUGACGGUACCUGAAGAAUAAGCACCGGCUAACUACGUG